AUUCAAGGUUUUGUUCGAGAAUUACCACCACAACAGACAUUGGACCCUAACUUCUACCAAGGCUAUGAUUUGAUGUCUUCAAGUUCAAUAGCACAACAACAUGCAUCAAUAAGUUUUGUCCAAGCACAAGAACUUGAAAAUAAUGAUGAUUCUGAUCAACAAGUUGUUGAAAAUAGGAAAAUUGAAUGAAGAUGCUUAUGAAGAAAUAGAGGACAAGACUGUGGGAUUGCGCUCAUGGAUUAAUUAGACCUUUAAGUGGAAUAAUACUUUG